UACGUAGGGGGCUAGCGUUGUCCAGAAUCAUUGGGCGUAAAGCGCGUGUAGGCGGUCCGGUAAGUCCGCUGUGAAAGUCGGGGGCUCAACCCUCGAAUGCCGGUGGAUACUGUCGGGCUAGAGUGCGGAAGAGGCGAGUGGAAUUCCUGGUGUAGCGGUGAAAUGCGCAGAUAUCAGGAGGAACACCAAUUGCGAAGGCAGCUCGCUGGGACGUAACUGACGCUGAGACGCGAAAGCGUGGGGAGCAAACAGG
rnacentral:rRNA from 1 species